rnacentral:rRNA from 1 species
GACGAACGCUGGCGGCGGGCGGAACACAUGCAAGUCGAACGGAAAGGCCCUGCUUUUGUGGGGUGCUCGAGUGGCGAACGGGUGAGUAACACGUGAGUAACCUGCCCUUGACUUUGGGAUAACUUCAGGAAGCUGGGGCUAAUACCGGAUAGGAGCUCCUGCUGCAUGGUAGGGGUUGGAAAGUUUCGGCGGUUGGGGAUGGACUCGCGGCUUAUCAGCUUGUUGGUGGGGUAGUGGCUUACCAAGGCUUUGACGGGUAGCCGGCCUGAGAGGGUGACCGGCCACAUUGGGACUGAGAUACGGCCCAGACUCCUACGGGAGGCAGCAGUGGGGAAUAUUGCACAAUGGGCGGAAGUCUGAUGCAGCAACGCCGCGUGCGGGAUGACGGCCUUCGGGUUGUAAACCGCUUUCGCCUGUGACGAAGCGUGAGUGACGGUAAUGGGUAAAGAAGCACCGGCUAACUACGUG